rnacentral:rRNA from 1 species
CAGUAGCCACGGGAAUACGGAGGGAGCUAGCGUUGUUCGGAAUUACUGGGCGUAAAGCGCACGUAGGCGGUUAUUCAAGUCAGAGGUGAAAGCCCGGGGCUCAACCCCGGAACUGCCUUUGAAACUAGAUGACUGGAAUCUUGGAGAGGUCAGUGGAAUUCCGAGUGUAGAGGUGAAAUCCGUAGAUAUUCGGAAGAACACCAGUGGCGAAGGCGACUGACUGGACAAGUAUUGACGCUGAGGUGCGAAAGCGUGGGGAGCAAACAGGAUUAGAUACCCCGGUAGUCCCUGUCUCUUAUAC